GGGGAACCGCGAAGAACCUUACCUGGCCUUGACAUGUCCGGAAUCCUGCAGAGAUGCGGGAGUGCCUUCGGGAAUCGGAACACAGGUGCUGCAUGGGUCGUCAGCUCGUGUCGUGAGAUGUUGGGUUAAGUCCCGCAACGAGCGCAACCCUUGUCCCUAGUUGCCAGCACGUAAUGGUGGGAACUCUAGGGAGACUGCCGGUGACAAACCGGAGGAAGGUGGGGAUGACGUCAAGUCAUCAUGGCCCUUACGGCCAGGGCUACACACGUACUACAAUGGUCGGUACAGAGGGUUGCGAACCCGCGAGGUGGAGCCAAUCCCGGAAAGCCGAUCUCAGUCCGGAUCGGAGUCUGCAACUCGACUCCGUGAAGUCGGAAUCGCUAGUAAUCGCGGAUCACCAUUGUCGCGGUGAAUACGUUCCCGGGUCUUGUACACACCG
rnacentral:rRNA from 1 species